GCGGACGCAGCCGGCCCUUCUCAGGUGCAUUUUAGUGGUUACCAGGUUGCCACGUAUUUGAAGUGGUGUGAGAGCUACUCGUUUGGAACCGUUGUGGAUUUUCAAAUAGGAAAAUCAAAAGGCCCAAAGAGACAGCUCACUGGAAAUGACCUCAUUCUUGAUGGCUGCUGCUAACUUAUGGUGAGAUGCUGGGUCCCUGCCCAAUACCACAUGGACAUCCAAUCAAUUUACCCAGGGACAAGUCCACUCAAGAGCAUCAUUUAGAAGAGGGAAAAGGCACUGGGGUUAUUUGUUUUUGGAGUAUGUGCUUAAGGAAAUCUAGAGUAUUCCCACGAGCAUUCUGCUGAGAUGAACAAUCAGAUGACCUCGUGUGAGAUUUGGAGGAGAGAAGGAAAUGGAGAGCAUGCGUCUGCCGCUUCUGUGGUUUCUGUCGGACAGAUUCCUAUAAGUGAAACUGCUGGGCCAAAGAGGAAGCACAUAUAAAACUGUGAUAGUGAAAUUGCCUUCUGGGAGAUUGCACCAAUUUACACUCCUAUCAAGAGUGAUUGGGAAUAUUCAUUUCUCUCUAACUCCACUAACACUGGAUGUUGUCCAAAGUUUUUAUUUUUGCACAACUAAUCAAGGAAAAGGUAUCUUUAAG
rnacentral:lncRNA from 10 species